GGGAAACCCUGACGCAGCAACGCCGCGUGAGUGAAGAAGGCCNUUGGGUCGUAAAGCUCUGUCAACUGGGAAGAAGUUAUUUUUUAUUAAUANUUUGUUGUAUUGACGGUACCAGUAGAGGAAGCACCGGCUAACUCCGUGCCAGCAGCCGCGGUAACACGGGGGGUGCAAGCGUUAUUCGGAAUUAUUGGGCGUAAAGGGCGCGUAGGCGGUUUUGUCGGUCAGAUGUGAAAGCCCGGGGCUCAACCCUGGAAGUGCAUUUGAAACAGCCAGACUUGAGUACGGGAGNGGAAAGCGGAAUUCCUGGUGUAGAGGUGAAAUUCGUAGAUAUCAGGAGGAACACCGAUGGCGAAGGCAGCUUUCUGGACCGAUANUGACGCUGAGGCGCGAAGGCGUGGGUAGCGAACAGGAUUAGAUACCCUGGUAGUCCACGCAGUAAACGAUGUUCACUAGGUGUAGCGGNUAUU
rnacentral:rRNA from 1 species